rnacentral:rRNA from 1 species
UACGUAGGGUGCGAGCGUUAAUCGGAAUUACUGGGCGUAAAGCGCGCGUAGGCGGCUUUGCAAGUCGGGUGUGAAAUCCCCAGGCUUAACCUGGGAAUGGCCGUUGAAACUGGCGAACUGGAGUGUGGCAGAGGGGGUGGAAUUCCGCGUGUAGCAGUGAAAUGCGUAGAGAUGCGGAGGAACACCGAUGGCGAAGGCAGCCCCCUGGGCUGACACUGACGCUCAGGCACGAAAGCGUGGGAGCGAACAGG